rnacentral:lncRNA from 1 species
AAUCCUCGAUUCAAAUAUUGAGAUUUUUUGAUAGACAAGAAAAAUCAGGACCAUCUCAUUGUUUCCUCAUUCUUACGUUUUUUCCACUGACAAAUCCUUUUAUUAUUCGAUUUGUAUUAGAUUUGAGUGUACCAUCAGUAUCCGAGUUGUGGAUAUGAAAAAAAGAUUGUGAUACAAAUGUUGAUAAUAGUAUAUCGUUAAUCAUAAAAAAAAAAUAAAAAGAAAGCGCUUUUACUACAUACAAAUACAAAGAAAUUUCGGAAUUUUUCUAUUUCUUUGAAAUCACUUAAAAUCACUUAAUUUCUUAGAAAUUUUGUAUCAAAAGAAACAUAAUGUGU